AACGUAGGUGGCGAGCGUUAUCCGGAUUCACUGGGCGUAAAGGGCACGCAGGCGGCUCGGCAGGUAGGGCAUGAAAUCUCCCGGCUUAACUGGGAGGGGCUGUCCUAAACCGCUGGGCUUGAGGGCGGGAGAGGGAAGUGGAAUUGCCGGUGUAGUGGUGAAAUGCGUAGAGAUCGGCAGGAACACCAGUGGCGAAGGCGACUUCCUGGUCCGCCCCUGACGCUCAUGUGCGAAAGCUAGGGUAGCGAACGGG
rnacentral:rRNA from 1 species